rnacentral:rRNA from 1 species
UAGGGAAUCUUCCGCAAUGGGCGAAAGCCUGACGGAGCAACGCCGCGUGAGUGAUGAAGGUCUUCGGAUCGUAAAACUCUGUUAUUAGGGAAGAACAAAUGUGUAAGUAACUAUGCACGUCUUGACGGUACCUAAUCAGAAAGCCACGGCUAACUACGUGCCAGCAGCCGCGGUAAUACGUAGGUGGCAAGCGUUAUCCGGAAUUAUUGGGCGUAAAGCGCGCGUAGGCGGUUUUUUAAGUCUGAUGUGAAAGCCCACGGCUCAACCGUGGAGGGUCAUUAGAAACUGGAAAACUUGAGUGCAGAAGAUGAAAGUGGAAUUCCAUGUGUAGCGGUGAAAUGCGCAGAGAUAUGGAGGUACACCAGUGGCGAAGGCGACUUUCUGGUCUGUAACUGACGCUGAUGUGCGAAAGCGUGGGGAUCAAACAGG